CCCUGUACCGGCAUUCACCGACUCAAAAAGUCCGGGAACCAAUGCUAAUUCUGCUUCUCUGUACGUCUCUAAUGUUGCAUUUUUAGUUCUAUGUUGAGAUCACUUAAACAAACACCUGCCAUUGUUGAUAAAGGAGUAUUUGUGUCGUUGUAUUUUAAAGAUAUCUGGUCAUGCUCUGAAAUAAACAAGGAAAUGAAUAUUGCUAUCGCAAACUUGUCCUUUUCUUAGAGGCACCAAUCUGUGGGAUUUAUUCUCAAUGAGGAUCACACCUCAUAGAAAAUAGUUCAUUCCCAUCUCUAAGUUGAGACUGGUUCUUUUGUCAAAUCUUUCAAAUAAAAAAAGAUUAAAAUGAAUUUUUUUGGGUUGGGUUUGGUCAUCAUGAUCGUUUCCGAGAGUUUUCUCGUGUCUUCUCGUAGCACAGGACCUGAUGAGGUGUCAAAGUUCAUGAUUGAAGUCAAGACUGCGCUGCACCAAAUAUGUCCGGGCUUUGUCGAAGUUCGAUAUGGCGAAGAGGCGAUCAAACUGACACCUAAAAAUCAUCCUAAACUCGACAUAAGGCAUCGACGAAAUGUGCAGGUCUCAAAUCUGGGUGCUUGUUGCUUCAAACUCUUCGAAAAGCCCCACUUCCGGGGGCGGGCUGAAAUCUAUUUACCGCAGCAAACCGGGCAUUGGCCAAGAUUGGGAUCAGUAGCCAAACGAAGAUGCCCCACCGUCAAGAGCUGAGCAAGUUUCAACUCAACUGAAUCAAUCUAUUCAUUUAUGAAGAUGCAAUAUUGCCCUGAUUUUUGGGCUACUUAUUGCUGAUUUACAAAUAAAAGUUGAUUCAAAGAA